UACGUAGGGGGCUAGCGUUGUCCGGAAUCAUUGGGCGUAAAGAGCUCGUAGGCGGUUUCGUAAGUCGGAUGUGAAAACUCCAGGCUCAACUUGGAGACGCCAUUCGAUACUGCGAUGACUUGAGUCCGGUAGGGGAGUGUGGAAUUCCUGGUGUAGCGGUGAAAUGCGCAGAUAUCAGGAGGAACACCGGUGGCGAAGGCGGUUCUCUGGGCCUGUACUGACGCUGAGGAACGAAAGCGUGGGGAGCGAACAGG
rnacentral:rRNA from 1 species